rnacentral:lncRNA from 1 species
AAGACAUGUCUUAUCCCCAGUCAGAACAUCAAGCUCAUGGUUCUGCUUUUCAAUUCUGACUCCAACCCUGACAAGGCCAAACAAGUUGAACUGAUGAGAGACUAUUGCAUUAAGUAUCCUAAAGCUGACAUGCAGAUUUUGCCUGCGUCUGAAGAGUUUUCAAGAGCUCCAGCCCUGGAAGUAGGAUCUUCCCAGUUUAAUAAUGAAUCUUUGCUCUUCUCCGGUGAUGUCCUCGUGUUUACUACAGAAUUCCUUUAGUGAUGUCAAGCAAAUACAGUUCUGCACCAACAAAUACCUUUUCCAAUCAUCUUCAGCUAGUGUGACCCAAAGAUUGUUUAUAAUGGGAAAGUUC